rnacentral:rRNA from 1 species
UAUGAGGUUACUGUCUUAUAUAUACUUAGUUUAAGUUACUUAGUAGGUGAAAAUUCCUACAUAUCUUUUAGAUAGACGAGAAGACCCUUAGAAUUUUAAUCAAUAAUAUUCAUAUUUAAUAUUCUAUUUUUGUUGGGGCGACAUAUUAUCAUAAAACAUAAUGUAUUAUAAACAUAAACAAGUCUAAUAUUUUCACAAAGCAUAAAUUACCUAAGGGAUAACAGCAUAAUAUUAUAUUUAUGAUUGUGACCUCGAUGUUGGACUAGGUAAACUAAUAACUAGCAGUUAUUAUUAAUUGUUCUGUUCGAACAUAAACACCUACAUGAUCUGAGUUCAGACCG